CUUAUCAUUUUCCAAGCCAAACGAUCCCUAACCCUUCUCUCUUCCCUUCCCCUUAACCCAUACGCUAACCCUAGCGCCGCCAGGCUUUGUGCCUUCUCUCUCAUGCCAGAAAUGGAAAAGCUGCAGAGAGUAAAAGGCUUUGCAGCCUUCGUACACCCUUUUCGCAUGAUAACAUUAAUGAUCCAACCUCGUUUUCAUCUCCUUCCUUCCAAACACGGUUUGAGUCCCUUAGUUAUUUUUUUUCCUUCUUUUUGGCUGAGUUGGAGGGUGGAAGCACAAGGAGCUUUUGAAUCCAUUCUUGGCCAAUGGUUGCAUUGAAAAAAGCCUCCCUAUUGGGCCAGGACAAUUCUUUCAGAUUUCUAUAGAGUCCGAGGAAGGGAAGCUAAUAUGUGUAUCCAUGAAGGCCCAACCAUGGGUGAAAAUGGUUAAGGGGUUUGGUACACCCCAAGUUAUUUCAUUAUUAUUGUAUGAUACAUUUACAUUUAUACUUGUAUUUGUAAACUCACAUUACUAUUGGAAACCAAAUGGUUGGAACUAGACGUUUUAGGCAAACGGUACUUAAGCCGUUUAGUUGGACUUUAGGC